UGCCAGCCGCCGCGGUAAUACGUAAGUCGCAAGCGUUAUCCGGAAUUAUUGGGCGUAAAGGGCGCGCAGGCGGUCUUGUCCGUCAGGUGUGAAAGCUCGGGGCUCAACCCCGGAAGUGCACUUGAAACAGCAAGACUUGAAUACGGUAGAGGAGAGAGGAAUUCCUGGUGUAGAGGUGAAAUUCGUAGAUAUCAGGAGGAACACCGAUGGCGAAGGCAUCUCUCUGGGUCGAUAUUGACGCUGAGGUGCGAAAGCGUGGGGAGCAAACAGGAUUAGAUA
rnacentral:rRNA from 1 species